rnacentral:rRNA from 1 species
ACGGGUGAGUAACGCGUGGGAAUCUACCCAUCUCUACGGAAUAACGCAUGGAAACGUGUGCUAAUACCGUAUACGUCCUUCGGGAGAAAGAUUUAUCGGAGAUGGAUGAGCCCGCGUUGGAUUAGCUAGUUGGUGGGGUAAAGGCCUACCAAGGCGACGAUCCAUAGCUGGUCUGAGAGGAUGAUCAGCCACACUGGGACUGAGACACGGCCCAGACUCCUACGGGAGGCAGCAGUGGGGAAUAUUGGACAAUGGGCGCAAGCCUGAUCCAGCCAUGCCGCGUGAGUGAUGAAGGCCCUAGGGUUGUAAAGCUCUUUCACCGGUGAAGAUAAUGACGGUAACCGGAGAAGAAGCCUCGGCUAACUUCGUGCCAGCAGCCGCGGUAAUACGAAGGGGGCUAGCGUUGUUCGGAUUUACUGGGCGUAAAGCGCACGUAGGCGGACUAUUAAGUCAGGGGUGAAAUCCCGGGGCUCAACCCCGGAACUGCCUUUGAUACUGGUAGUCUUGAGUUCGAGAGAGGUGAGUGGAAUUCCGAGUGUAGAGGUGAAAUUCGUAGA